UACAGAGGUCGCAAGCGUUGUUCGGAAUUACUGGGCGUAAAGGGUGCGCAGGCCGCGCGGGCAGUCAAAUGUGUAAUUCAGGGGCUCAACCCCUGCACUGCGCUUGAUACUUCCGCGCUCGAGCUUUAGAGAGGAGUCUGGAAUUCUCGGUGUAGCAGUGAAAUGCGUGGAUAUCGAGAAGAACACUUAGGGCGUAGGCAAGACUCUGGACAAAUGCUGACGCUCAUGCACGAAGGUUAGGGUAGCGAACGGG
rnacentral:rRNA from 1 species